rnacentral:rRNA from 1 species
CCUACGGGGGGCAGCAGUGGGGAAUAUUGCGCAAUGGGCGAAAGCCUGACGCAGCGACGCCGCGUGAGGGAUGAAGGUCUUCGGAUCGUAAACCUCUGUCAGCAGGGAAGAACGGUCACUGUGCUAAUCAGCAGUGAAUUGACGGUACCUGCAAAGGAAGCACCGGCUAACUCCGUGCCAGCAGCCGCGGUAAUACGGAGGGUGCGAGCGUUAAUCGGAAUUACUGGGCGUAAAGCGCUCGUAGGCGGUAUGUCAAGUCAAGGGUGAAAUGCCCCCGCUCAACGGGGUGAAGUGCCAUUGAUACUGCCUGGCUGGAAUGCGGAUGCCGUGGGAGGAAUGUGUGGUGUAGCGGUGAAAUGCAUAGAUAUCACACAGAACACCGAUUGCGAAGGCAUCUCACGAAGCCGCGAUUGACGCUGAUGCACGAAAGCGUGGGUAUCAAACAGGAUUAGAUACCCCGGUAGUC